rnacentral:rRNA from 1 species
CCGUGGCAAAGCUGCGCCAACCCGCGCUCUGGUACAUCUGAUAGGCAACAGAACCCACGCUAAUCGCUUGUAGGCUUUGGGCUGGAUUUGCCACGCGCGAUGAUCUUUCCGUGAGGUACUCGGGAUAGUUCCGGCCUGCGGCAAGAUGGUCU